UACAGAGACUGCAAGCGUUAUUCGGAUUCACUGGGCGUAAAGGGUGCGCAGGUGGUCGGGUAAGUCUGACGUGAAAUCCCGCAGCUUAGCUGCGGAAUGGCAUUGGAUACUAUUCGGCUAGAGGGUUGGAGGGGGGACUGGAAUUCUCGGUGUAGCAGUGAAAUGCGUAGAUAUCGAGAGGAACACCAGUGGCGAAGGCGAGUCCCUGGACAAUUCCUGACGCUGAGGCACGAAAGCUAGGGGAGCAAGCAGG
rnacentral:rRNA from 1 species